rnacentral:lncRNA from 1 species
AUGGAUCUUGAAGGAGACCUCCAGGGAAGAGCAGGGAAGAACUCCUAUAAACUGGACAAGAAAGGUAAAAAGGAGAAGAAGAAAAAGCAACCAACCGUCAGUACAUUUACCAUGUUUCGCUAUUCAAAUUGGCUGGACAGGUUAUACAUGGUGCUGGGAACUCUGGCUAGUAUUAUCCAUGGAGCUGCGCUCCCUCUCAUGAUGCUGGUGUUUGGGGACAUGACGGACAGCUUUGCAAAUGCAGGAAGCAAUAGUCAAAGUAAGUAUUGCUUGUUGUACUUUUAUUAGAAGCAUGCAGGAAAACACUUAGGAAGAUAUCACUGAAUGGACACUAUUGUGUUUAGUGCUCUGGGAGGUAGAGGGCAUGAGUGUGGCUUAUGCUUGUCAUGAAUUUGAAAAGAGAG